rnacentral:rRNA from 1 species
CAAUAGCGUAUAUUAAAGUUGUUGCAGUUAAAAAGCUCGUAGUUGAAUUUCUGGCGGGCGCGCCGGUCUUCCAAGUGUUGUACUGGGCGCAGUCCGCCAUCCUUGUGGAGAGGGCUUGCAUUGAGUUGCGUGUCGGAUCUGCAUCAUUUACUGUGAAAAAAUUAGAGUGUUUAAAGCAGGCUGUCGCUUGAAUACAUUAGCAUGGAAUAAUAAGAUAGGACUUCGGUCUAUUUUGUUGGUUGCGAACCGAGGUAAUGAUUAAUAGGGAUAGUUGGGGGUAUUCAUAUUUAAUUGUCAGAGGUGAAAUUCUUGGAUUUAUGAAAGAUGAACAACUGCGAAAGCAUUUACCAAGGAUGUUUUCAUUAA